CAAGUCGAACGAGAAAGUGGAGCAAUCCAUGAGUAAAGUGGCGCACGGGUGAGUAACACGUGACUAACCUACCUUUUAGUGGGGGAUAACCUAGGGAAACCUGGGCUAAUACCGCAUAAUACCUACGGGUCAAAGCAGCAAUGCGCUGAUAGAGGGGGUCGCGGUCGAUUAGUUAGUUGGCAGGGUAAUGGCCUACCAAGACUGUGAUCGAUAUCCGGCCUGAGAGGGCGCACGGACACACUGGAACUGAAACACGGUCCAGACUCCUACGGGAGGCAGCAGUGGGGAAUUUUGCGCAAUGGGGGAAACCCUGACGCAGCAACGCCGCGUGGAGGAUGAAGUCCCUUGGGACGUAAACUCCUUUCGAUCGGGACGAUUAUGACGGUACCGGAAGAAGAAGCCCCGGCUAACUUCGUGCCAGCAGCCGCGGUAAUACGAGGGGGGCAAGCGUUGUUCGGAAUUAUUGGGCGUAAAGGGUGCGUAGGUGGUUCGGCAAGUCUUGUGUGAAAUCUUCAGGCUCAACUUGAAGUCUGCACAAGAAACUGCCGGGCUUGAGUAUGGGAGAGGUGAGUGGAAUUUCCGGUGUAGCGGUGAAAUGCGUAGAUAUCGGAAGGAACACCUGUGGCGAAAGCGGCUCACUGGACCAUUACUGACACUGAGGCACGAAAGCUAGGGGAGCAAACAGGAUUAGAUACCCUGGUAGUCCUAGCCCUAAACGAUGAUCGCUUGGUGUGGCGGGUAUCCAACCCUGCCGUGCCGCAGCUAACGCGUUAAGCGAUCCGCCUGGGGAGUACGGUCGCAAGGCUGAAACUCAAAGGAAUUGACGGGGGCCCGCACAAGCGGUGGA
rnacentral:rRNA from 1 species